GACGAACGCUGGCGGCGUGCUUAACACAUGCAAGUCGAGCGGUAAGGCUCCUUCGGGAGUACACGAGCGGCGAACGGGUGAGUAACACGUGAGCAAUCUGCCCUUCACUUCGGGAUAACUCCGGGAAACCGGUGCUAAUACCGAAUACGACCACUUCAGGCAUCUGAUGGUGGUGGAAAGUUCCGGCGGUGAAGGAUGAGCUCGCGGCCUAUCAGCUUGUUGGUGAGGUAAGGCCCACCAAGGCAACGACGGGUAGCCGGCCUGAGAGGGUGACCGGCCACACUGGGACUGAGGCACGGCCCAGACUCCUACGGGAGGCAGCAGUGGGGAAUAUUGGACAAUGGGCGAAAGCCUGAUCCAGCAACGCCGCGUGAGGGAUGACGGCCUGGUGUAACUAC
rnacentral:rRNA from 1 species